rnacentral:rRNA from 1 species
GUGGGGAAUUUUGGACAAUGGGCGCAAGCCUGAUCCAGCAAUGCCGCGUGCAGGAAGAAGGCCUUCGGGUUGUAAACUGCUUUUGUACGGAACGAAACGGUCCGGGUUAAUACCCUGGGCUAAUGACGGUACCGUAAGAAUAAGCACCGGCUAACUACGUGCCAGCAGCCGCGGUAAUACGUAGGGUGCAAGCGUUAAUCAGAAUUACUGGGCGUAAAGCGGGCGCAGGCGGUUUUGUAAGACAGGCGUGACAUCCCCGGGCGCAACCUGGGAAUUGCGCUUGUGACUGCAAGGCUGGAGGGCGGCAGAGGGGGAUGGAAUUCCGCGUGUAGCAGUGAAAUGCGUAGAUAUGCGGAGGAACACCGAUGGCGAAGGCAAUCCCCUGGGCCUGCACUGACGCUCAUGCACGAAAGCGUGGGGAGCAAACAGGAUUAGAAACCCCUGUAGUCC